UACAGAGGUCUCAAGCGUUGCUCGGAUUCAUUGGGCGUAAAGGGUGCGUAGGCGGCGCGGUAAGUCGGGUGUGAAAUCUCGGAGCUUAACUCCGAAACUGCAUUCGAUACUGCCGUGCUUGAGGACUGGAGAGGAGACUGGAAUUUACGGUGUAGCGGUGAAAUGCGUAGAUAUCGUAAGGAAGACCAGUGGCGAAGGCGGGUCUCUGGGCAGUAACUGACGCUGAGGAGCGAAAGCGUGGGGAGCGAACAGG
rnacentral:rRNA from 1 species